rnacentral:rRNA from 1 species
GGAAUCUUGGGCAAUGGGCGAAAGCCUGACCCAGCCACGCCGCGUGGAGGAAGACACCCCUAUGGGGCGUAAACUCCUUUUAUAUGGGAAGAAGGUCUUGUUCUUCAAGAAUUGACGGUACCAUAUGAAUAAGCACCGGCUAACUCCGUGCCAGCAGCCGCGGUAAUACGGAGGGUGCAAGCGUUGUCCGGAUUCACUGGGUGUAAAGGGUGUGUAGGCGGGUCGGUAAGUCAGAGGUGAAAGCCCACGGCUCAACCGUGGAAUUGCCUUUGAUACUGCCGUCCUUGAGUCUCGGAGAGGUCGCCGGAAUUCGUGGUGUAGCGGUGAAAUGCGUAGAUAUCACGAGGAACACCAGAGGCGUAGGCGGGCGACUGGACGAGUACUGACGCUGAGGCACGAAAGCGUGGGGAGCAAAC